UUCACCGUUUGGAUGUAUGAAAUUAAGAAUAUAACUGAAUCAUCUGUUCAAUAUCUGAUACGUCCCCCUACGGAGGACUACAUAUUAAAUGGAUUUUUCGAACAGGGAGUCGGAAAUGCGGCUUGCUCAAGUCCGCUCCACGCAUUUACCCGGUAUUGCAGUACCUCCAGGAACGUACAAGUACC